UACGAAGGGGGCUAGCGUUGUUCGGAAUUACUGGGCGUAAGGCGUGCGCAGGCGGCCAUCCAAGUCAGUGGUGAAAGCCCGGAGCUCAACUCCGGAAUUGCCAUUGAAACUGUUUGGCUCGAGUACGAGAGAGGUGAGUGGAAUUCCCAGUGUAGAGGUGAAAUUCGUAGAUAUUGGGAAGAACACCGGUGGCGAAGGCGGCUCACUGGCUCGUAACUGACGCUCAUGCACGACAGCGUGGGGAUCAAACAGG
rnacentral:rRNA from 1 species